GAGACUGGAGAGGCCUAGAAGCGGGUGGGGAAGGGCAGGGCCAGAGAAGCAGGGAGAGAUGCAGAGAGAGACAGAGAUGCGGCGGGAGGCCCGAGUUGCUGUGGUGGGGUGGGGGUGGACCGGCAGAAAAAGGAUAAGGGAAUAAAUUAAAAGAAUAACCUGGGGAGAGGUGCUGUGAAUCCCUUUACACCAGGAGACAUAGAUAGAUUUUGUUUUGUGUCUGAGUAUCCGUGUGAGCCCGUGCACGACCACCUCCGGAUGUGUUUGUGAGUGCCUGCAGGAGGCUCUGUGGACCCUAGAAAUAAGCAAGACUGACCCUCUAGGUGGCUUUUGGGAUACACCCAAGCCUAGCUGAGGAGGACAAGGGGCUUGUGUUUUGGCACAGCCUUCCCCACUCUAAGUUUGAGAGUCCCUGGGCAGUGGUGGGUCUCAGAGCUCUGCUUUUCUACCUCCAGAGACAGAGUGCUCACUACCCCACCUGAGACCUCCUGGCUUAUCUUUAGAUGGCUCUGACUGUUAAGAACGAAAUUCAUCCUUCUUGAGAGGGGAAUGCUGGUACUCCUGAGGGUCAGAUUCAGCUGCACCUCAUGCCUACAACACCCACAUCUCUACCUGCAAGCCAGAUCCUGCUCCUCAAAGGCACCACCUGCCAUAUGCCUGAGCACUGAGCUGGGCACCAAGAAUACAGAGACAAAAGACGCCAUCAGAGAUAUGAGGAAACUGAAGCACAGAGUUAAAAUAACUUACUCAAAGCAGGAGCUGAGAUCCAAUCCAGGCAGAAAUCCUGGACUAUUGAAACAUUCUCAGCUGGUAUCUGCCUCCCUGGGGGCUCACCCCAGCUCUUCUCUUCACCCAAACCAGAGUGAAUGUCAUGCAGCAGAGACUGGAUCAUGGUGCUGACUUUGUAGAUACAUUUUGGGAGGACUGAUGUCAUUACAAUAUUGAGUCUUCCUAUCCAUUUACAUGGUAUAUCUAUCCAUUAGCUUAGGACUUUAAAGUCUUUCGAUAAAAUUUUUAUCUCAUAAAGGAGAUAAAUUAACAUAUUUUUAGAAGAUUUACUUAGGCCUUAUAUACUUCUGUAAACAGUGAUUUUACAUUUCCUAAUAGUUUGUUGCUAUGAUUUAUAAUGGCAAUUUAUUUUAAGGUAUUUCUCUUAUUCCACCAAACUUGCCUCCACAUACAGCCAGAGCCAGAGACCCAGCUGUCAUCUAGGACCCUGCUACUCCCUCACCAUUCCUUCCAAUCUGCAACCUUGUCUGAUAGCUUCUGUCUCUUGAGUGGAUGUUUUAUCCCCACCAGCUCUCAGUGUAGGCCUCAGUGUAGGCCAUGUUAUUUUUGGCCUGCGGUGAUUCCUAACUGAUUUCCCAAUCAACCUUCACAUAGUCAGGGCUACUACCAACCCUUACUGCACCCUUGUGCGAAGAGAAAAGGUAUCCCUUCCUCAUGGCACUCUACCUCCAUCCAGCAGAUAACUUGUAAUAAAUAUUCAAAUAUGUGAUGUCCACAAUGUGGUUGGUGGCCCUCUCGUGUGGUGCCUUGUGUACCGCUCACCAGCACAGCCAUCUGUGGUGAGGGUUUGAUCACAGCAUUCUGUUAUGGGCUGAAUGUCUACAUCCUCCCCCAGUUCAUAUGUUGAAGGCCUAACCCCCAACGUAACAGCAUCAAGAGGUAGGUCCUUGGGAGGUAAUCAUGUUUAGAUGAGGUGCUAAGGGUAGAGCCACUCAUGGGAUUAGUGCCCUUACAAGAAAAGGAAGAGACUCCAGAGCCUCCUCUCUCUGCCAUGUGAGGACACAGCAAGAAGGCC